rnacentral:lncRNA from 1 species
CAGGAGCCUUAUGGCUUGGGGGUAGGAGCUGUUUAGAAGCCUCUUGGACCUAGACUUGGCGCUCCAGUACCGCUUGCCGUACGGUAGCAGAGAGAACGGUCUAUGACUAGGGUGGUUGGAGACUUUGACCAUUUUUAGGGCCUUCCUCUGACACCGCCUGGUAUAGAGGUCCUGGAUGGCAUGAAUGGAAGUAAGAAUAUAUAAUAUAUGGAAGAGCAAUGUCAGAGAGGAAUUGACUAAGUUACAGAAGAAUAGUAUAGAAUACAUCGGGUGCAGUAGGUGCCCUGGAGGGCAGGUAGUUUGCACCCCGGGGAUGCGUGGAGAGCCCUUCGGUUGCGGGCGUUGCAGUUGCCCUACCAAGCGACGAUACAGACCAACAGGAUGCUCUCAAUUGUGCAUCUGUAAAAGUUUGUGAGGGUUUUAGGUGCUAAGCCAAAUUUCUUCAGUCUCCUGAGGUUGAAGAAGCGCUGUUGCACCUUCUUCACCACAUUGUCUGUGUAGGUGGACCAUUUCAGUUUGUCAGUGAUGUGUACGCCGAGGAACUUGAAGCUUUCCACCUUCUCCAUUGCGGUCCGUAAAGCCACAUGCGUCUCGUCUCAACUUGUUCAAAUAUAUGUAUGCUGUCUAGAAAUCUCACACUACAGAAACUCAGUAUUCUUCAUUUAACUUUGUAUUGUUUCCUACAAACUUCUUACAAGAAGGUUGAUGAAUCAAGGCUGAUGAUUUCGCAUUUCUUGCUAUUGAGUCUUGCUAUUGAAACCGACCUGGAAACAGAUUUGAAAAGAUUGUCUUGUCAUGAAGGUCGGUGUAACAAAUGUUCAGCAUGGCUCUAUGAUUGCCAGGAUUUUCUAUGAAAUCUCCAUCUGCGACUGUCAAUGCCAACCUUACCCUCAGAUAUCCAAAUUCUUUAAACAAAUUAGUCCAUGAAAUUGACAGGUAAAGAUAUUUUCCUUGAGAAUUUUUUUUUUCUUCAAAAAGUCAAGUUCCUAGUAUUCAACCUGGGGCACAAGAUUACUCCCUGUUUCAAACGACAAGACAAACGUCAGUACUAUGCUCUAAUGCAUUUGAGCAAACCUUGAUCAACAGUACAAAGCCACUUUCUGCACUAUUAUCCAUCAGUGAGAAUAGUCAGCCUUUGGCAUGGGUCCAGCAGGUGCCAAAGUUAAAGGAAUCUGUUUUAUGAACAAUAGAUAGUUCUUCCUUUUGAAAAUCGGAAGCAAUCAACUGAUUGAACCGCUUAAGCGUUUGUCAUUGAGAAGAUUUAAAGACGCUGGAAUGCCUGAAAUUAGUUAUGGCAGAGACUAUAAUAACAUAGGGUCGUUGAACAACUACACUGGUUCUUUCAUAAUUGGAUAUGACAUUGAAAGCACCUUGAGCUUCUGCUGGGGGAAACAUCUACACGUUUUAGCAAUGAGUUAAAGUGAAAGAAUGCAAUGAUGGCAAAUUCUCACCCUACAUUUAAGCAAUUACUUUGCUAGCUAACUACACACAUUGGGCAUAUGAGACAAUUUCAAUGACUUGCAAAACAUAAUGGGUGAACAAAAUGACCCAGUACAGCCCUCAACUGCUUCCAAAUGCUUUAGUAGUUAGUCUAAUAUAGAGAAGCACUUGGGAGUAUAGAACACUUUGCAGGUUAAUUUUGUUUGUUUUCAACUGUUCAACCCACCUAGCCCAUGACAUCUAUUCACUGAGGGAGUUGAGUACUGGCACCUCAAAAGUUUCUACUGCUUGAGCUCUUGUUCCUCUUAUAGAAUAUUAACUCAAAAGUAUUGUGUAGCUCCUGCUCCAAAAUAUAAAAAGAACCGUCACCCAUAAUGAGUAACGGAACCUACAGUAUUUCAGUCCAAGUUAAGCACUGAUUAUAGUUGCUAUAUUUUUAUUAAAAGGGCCCUUCAUUAUGCUGCUAGCACAUGCCUACCCCUGCACUGUGUUCAUUGCUGACGGGCCUCAUCUGGACCUAUUAGCCUAAGAUAAUCAUCGGUAACUGAAGAAUAGUGGAAAUGAUUCCAACCCACACUGUCUUCUCUCUGGGCAUUCGAACCAAAUGGCAUCUUCUGAAAAGGAAAGUUAUGAUUCAAUUAUCCUCAGUUGCGUUAGUUCAGGGCUAAGUUGUUAGGUUAGCUGCUUACCUUUCUUGGCUGACUUUGAUACAAUUAGCUUCUGAACUUUUGUCUGAUAGAAAUGUUAUGGUCAAUGUCUGUGUCAGUUACAUGGGCGAUGAAGGUCAAAGUUGAUGGCCUUAGUUGUGGACUCUUCUGUUUUGCGUUCACAUAGUGUAAAGGAACUAUUAUUUAAUGUAGAACAAUAUACACAGUUCAAAUGGUGCGUAUCUUAUGCCCCUCCAUGUAUCCACUGAAGUCUAAAUAAUUGCCUCAACUCCUACAGUGCAUUCGGAAAGUAUUCAGACCCCUUGACUUUUUCCACAUUUUGUUACGCUACAGCCUUAUUCUAAAAUGGAUUCAAUUGUUUUUUUUCCCUCAUCAAUCUACAGAUAAUACCUCAUUAUGACAAAAGCAAAACGUUUUUUUAGAAUGUUUCGCAAGUUUAUAUAAAAAAGGAAAUAUUACAUUGACAUAAGUAUUCAGACCCUUUGCAAUGAGACUCAAAAUUGAGCUCAGGUGUAUCCUGUUUCCAUUAAUCAUCCUCAAUAUGUUUCUACAACUUGAUGGAAGUCCACCUGUGGUAAAUUCAAUUGAUUGGACAUGAUUUGGAAAGGCACACCCCUGUCUAUAUAAUGUGCCACAGUUGACAGUGCAUGUCAAAGCAAAAACCAAGCCAUGAGAUCUGAGGAAGGGUACCAAAACAAUUAUGCAGCAUUGCAGGUCCUCAAGAACACAGUGGCCUCCAUCAUUCUUAAAUGGACUCUUCCUAGAGCUGGCCGCCCGGCCAAACUGAGCAUUUGGGGAGCUGACCAAGAACCCCAUGGUCACUCUGACAGAGUGCCAGCGUUCCUCUGUGGAGAUGGGAGAACUUUCCAGAAAGACAACCAUCUCUGCAGCACUCCACCAAUCAGACCUUUAUGGCAGAGUGGCCAGAUGGAUGCCACUCCUCAGUGAUAGGCACAGGACAGCCAGCUUGGAGUUUUCCAAAAGGCACCUAAGAGUCUCAGAGCAUGAGAAACCAGAUUCUCUGGUCUGACGAAACCAAAGAUUGAACUCUUUGGCAUGAAUGCCAAGCGUCAUGUCUGGGGGAAACCUGGCACCAUCCUUACGGUGAAGCAUGGUGGUGGCAACAUCAUGCUGGGGGGAUGUUUUUCAGGGGCAGGGGCUGGGAGUCUAGUCAGGACCGAGGGAAAGAUUAAUGGAGCAAAGUACAGAGAGAUCCUUGAUGAAAACCUUCUCCAGAGUUCUCAUGACCUCAGACUGUGGUGAAGGUUCACCUUCCAACAAGACAACGACCCUAAGCACUCGGCCAAGACAACGCAGGAGUGGCUUUGGGACAAGUCUCUGAAUAUCCUUGAGUGGCCCAGCCAGAGCCUGGACUUGAACCCGAUCAAACAUCUCUGGAGAGACCUGAAAAUAGCUUUGCAGCAACGCUUAGCAUACUGUACUAUGCUUCAUUACACAAAAAACUAUUUCACUAAUUUAACAGAUACCCAUAUAUAAUCUGUCUAUUCCACAUACAAGAAAUUUGAUGCAGACAUUGUUGAGAAUGAGGAUCACUUUAACUAGUGCAUAGGAUUCAUGUGCAUUAUUCAGAAUGAAAGUUUGGAACGAGAAAGUUUUACCAGACUAUAAAGUGCUUUUACUGGCAAAUGUUUUCUGUGCUUUGUUGAUUGACUUAGAUCAAAGCGAACAAACAGUUAAUUAAGAUAAAUAAAAUUAAAUCUACAUUAAAGUAAAUUAUCCGCAAUCACGGUGGUGCUGCCCACUCAAUUAUAGCUGCAGAAUAUUCACCAUGUUUUAUGUUCGCUUAUAUUAAAGUAGUCAAGUGUCCAGACUCAAUUCCAUCUUCUCCUGGAAAUACAUUUGAAGUCAUACCCUCAGAUCUGUUUCUGUCAGCCAAUGCAACUUGUAUCUUGGCAAGGAUGCUAGCAUGAAUUAUUUGGCUUGCAACACGCCAAGGUAAUAGGAUAAGAGCACAGCUGAAUGAAUAGAGGACUCACUGGUGAGAUAGAAACUGACAGUUCCCAUAACCAGCAGCUUUUAAUACCUCAGGGGUUGGAGCGUGCCAUGGCGCUCGUGUGUUUA